rnacentral:lncRNA from 1 species
UUCGUAUCUUCUCCGGCAGCACGCGAUGUCUCCGGCCAUCAACUUUGACGGCAGCACGCAGUGUCUCCAGUGCUCUCCGUGAGUCGCGACCAUCUUCUUUCAAUCGCACGAUGGUCUAUUGCUCCAACCUCCACCAAUGUUGUGCUCUAUAACACGUAAGCGAGUUCCGCCGAUUCCGCCAAGUCGCCAUGUCGGCGUGACCUUAGACCCUCACCGCCGACUCCGUCAGCUUCGAUUUCAGUCAAUCAUGGAUGAAGAUGGAUUGAGCAGAUCUCAAUCAACCAUGGCUGAGCGAUUCAAUCGAAUCUGGUGGGGAAACCAACUUUUCAUUAUUUGUGUUUUUGGUCCUCAAAUGUUUUGUUUCUCUUCAUUUUAGUCCCAAACUUUCUAAUUGACAAGAUUUUUUUUUCUGUUUUCAGAUUGAACUUUUCGAUUAUGCACUUUAAACCAUGUUAGCUAAAAAUGGACAAAUAAAUACAAUAUACAUACACCUAAAUACAAUUUAAAAUGAUUAAAAUAAGCUAAAACUAACUGCAUAAUAAGAAAAAUCAUGAAAUUGCUAAUGGAGUGGGUUAUAGAAGAUGGUAAACUGGUACGACUCAUAUAACUAAACAUAUAACUCAAAUACUAGACAUGUAAUACUGGUUUAAUUGGUACAACUUCAUAGUAUAUAUCAGACAUGUAAUACUAGUACUACUGGUUGAACUUCUUCAUUAUAGAAAUUUAAAAAUUUCAUUUGCUUUUCCAUAUGAAAAAAUACAACUAUAUACAAAUUUGUACAACCCAAAAUUUGGUACAACUACGUAUUACUCAAAGGGGGGUUGCUAAAGGCGCCUUUAGUGAUUAGUGAUUAGUGAUGUUAACAUCAAUGGUUGCAUGCCGAAUGGGAUUCUUGUCAAUGGUAGUAGCGGGGAUAGCUCUUGAACUCCAGCAUAUCAGUUUUGGAAAAGGAUGACUCAUCCAAUGAAAUGUUUGAUGUUCCGCUACCUGGAGAAGAAAAAUACUCUGCAGGUAUAAAUGACUUAAACCUUUUUAUAAGCAUUAUGGUGAUUGCAUGCUUGCGUUUGAUCUUAGGGACAUUUGCAGUGUGUGUCUAUGACUCUAUGCCUUUUAGAUUGGCUUUGGUAGCUUCUUUUUCUGGUUUGUGAUUACUGAUUAGCAUGACAUAAACCGACGUCCACAUUGUUGUUCCAGGUACUCCGACGACCUGCAGCUUUCACAUCUUCACCCACGAAGGCUCUAGCUCUUGUUUCUAAACCAACGUGGCAAUGUGGUCAGAAUAGCCAUGUUGAUGUGCUGAAAAUCGAAGAAUGUAAUGGAUCUGCUUCUACAAGUCAAGCAGCUAGACAUAUCAAUAUGAUUGAGUGUAUCACACUACAAAGUGACAGCUAAAAGGGAAAGGGAACUCAAAGCAGAUGAGUAAAAAGCAAGAAGAAAGAAGAACUGCUUACGCUGAAGAAGCCAGCAACAACUCUCUGCCUAAUUGUUCUCUCUUUGGUCAUUUCAGCGUUGGCACUCAAGCUAUGGUAAAGAGAUUCUCAACUGCAUGACGUGGAGAGUGAGGAAAAGGCCAACUAUGAACCCUGGAAUGUCCCGCUGAUUUCCUUUGGGAUUAAGCUGAAUGAUGAAGCUGUUGUUGGUCAUCCUUCAACGGUUGAAAUGCUUGAAGAUAGAUCGUGUGACAGUGUUUUGUGUAGUCAUAUCAAGUCACUUGUUGUUCCAAUGUUUGAUUGUGAUGUGAAGCCAAAACCAUCUAAAUCCAAGAACAAGAAACCACACAUGCCUUUACAUAAAUCAUCAAAGUCAAAGAAAGUUUCGCCUCUAUUCGUAAAGACAAGGUGCUUCUCUGCUCUAAGUGGCCAGAAGAAAGUGAUGAUAGAGAAUGUUGGACUUUAAUUAACUAAAGGAGGAAACAACGUUUCAGACAAAACGUGUCGGUUAUGAGUCAACAUAUGCGUUGAUCAAAAAGCACUGCUUUAGUUAACGUAUGUGUUGAUUAAAGAUACCAUUUGAGUCAUUAUAUAAAGUGAUCAAGUGCAAUACGAGAAAGUAAGAGAAGAAGGAGAGAAGAUAGAAGAUUACUGAGAAUCAAUUGGAUGUAAUCUUUUUCUUUCCCAUGACAAAUUUCUGAAGGAAAACUCAAAGUAAAGUUUGUUAGAGUCUCGGUACAGGUGUGUUGUAAGGAGAUCGAUAGUUGUAUCCUCAAGAUAGACACCUAUAAAACUACACACCAUUGUUGGGAGGAAAUUCUGUCUUAGGAGAUUGUUUAGGCAAGCCUCUAUCAAACCAUAAUCGUUAAGUUGUAAGAAGAAGAAACAUAAUUAUUUCGUAACUUUUUAUAAGGGUUUAUAAAUCGAGUAAGAUUUAUAAGAUUCUAUAAACUCAAACGUAUUGAGUACGUGAGAUUGAUUUGCAUCUGUACUUUGGAUUAACAAUCUAAGACAUAACUUUCUUUGUUCUUUUCAAAGAAAGCAAGAUGGAUCAAUCUACUACAAUUGUGAAAAGUCACAUAGAGAAGCCUUUUGUUUUCUGAGGAGUGGAUUUCAAAAGAUGGCAACAAAAAGAUGUUUUAUUUCAGAACACUAUAUCUGGCCCAGUGCUUUACUUCUGAAGGACCAGAGUUACUUGUAGAAGGUGAUAUAUUCCUGAUGAAAUCGUUAAAGCUUCAAAGGCAUGGACGCAAAACGAGUUUUGUACAAGAAAUAUAUAUUCUUAACGCUUUGGACGAUUCUUUCUAUGAUGUUUAUCAUAUAUUCCAAACUUCAAAACAGUUGUAGGAAUCAUUAGGGAAAUAAAUACAAGUCUGAAGUUGUACGCAUUAAGACGUUCAUCGUGGAAAAGUUCUUAAACUUUAAGAUGAGUGAUACUGUUUUUGUGGUGAAACAAGUGAAAAAAAAAAUUCCAAAUCAUUGCUCAUGAAAGAUAUGGGAUUGACUGUUAAUUCUUGGAAUUAGAGUUAAACAAGAGUCAUAUGGUAAAAUGAAAAAAAAAAUUAAAAUGGCAAGUCAAGACGUAUAAGACGUAGACAUGCAUGACAAUAGCUUUCCAAUGGGGUGAUAGCAUUGGAUUACAUUAGAUCAAAGGAUAACUUGGUUGAUACUUUGACCAAAAGCCUAUCUAAAAAGCAAGUUGUAUUCAUUUCGAGAGGAAUGGGUCUCAAGCCAACAUAAUGAGUCAUCACUUGAUGGAAACCUAACCUAGCAACAUUGAAGAUCCCAUGGUCUAGGUUCAAUAGGCAAACUAGUUGAGGAAGGCUCAAGAUGUUUUACACAUUUCUCAUUCCUAAGAAAUCUUACUGAAUGACUCAUGACAAUUCCCAACCAUCGAAACAAGGGAGAGCCCAGUAAUAAUGUGUAUCCAUUAAUGAUUAAGGUUGAAUAAUUUAUUCUUAAUAAUGUUAGUAUUUUUUGUAGAAGAGAGAUAGAAUGUACUAUCUUUAACUAACGUUACCUAUAUGGGAGUGGUGUCGGUCGCACCUAUGAGAAUCGAUAUAGCUAAAUUCUCUAGAUCUCUCACGAAGUCCGGAUAUGUUCAGGACCAAAAUGAACACAACCGUAUAAACUAGAAAUGAGCUGAUGAGAUAUGUGUUUCAUUUAUUGUCUAGGUUUACUAUAAAAUGUGGUUAAUUCAAGACUAUAGUUCAUUACACACAAAGUUAAUCCGAUAAGUUGUUACUAGGAAAGGUUCAAGUUAAAAGACACCUUCUCGCUGCAUAUUAAUUCCACUUUCUCAGAAAUAUUUGAACUUAUUUUCUAUUCAAAUGUGGGGUAUUGUUGAGUUUGAAUAGAAAGUGUGGGGUAUUGUUGGACUUUAAUUAGCUAAAGGAGGAAGCGACAUUUCAGACAAAACGUGUCGGUUAUGAGUCAACAUAUGGCGUUGAUCAAAAGGCACCGCUUGAGUUAACUUAUGCGUUGAUUAAAUGCACCAUUUAAGUCAUUAUAUAAAGUGAUCAAGUGCAAUACGAGAAAGUAAGAGAAGAAGGAGAGAAGAGAGAAGAUUACUGAGAAUCAAUUGGAUUUAAUCUUUUUCGUUCCCAUAACAAAUUUCUGAAGGAAAACUCAAAGUAAAGUUUGCUAGGGUCUCGGUACGGGUGUGUUGUAUGGAGAUGGAUAGUUGUAUCCUCAAAAUAGACGCCUACAAAACUACACACCAUUGUAGGGGGAAAAUUCUGUCUUAGGAGAUUGCUUAGGCACAAUCGUUAAGUUAUGAGAAGAAGAAACAUAAUUAUUUCGUAAUUUUUUAUAAUGGUUUAUAAAUCGAGUAAAAUUUAUAAAAGUCUAUAAACUCAAAUGUAUUGAGUACGUGAGAUUGAUUUGCAUCUGUACUUUGGAUUAACAGAGAAGACGAAAGAGAAGGUUGUGUCCUGCAUCCCUCUGAAAGUUGUAUUCAGUAGGAUAAACGAAGCAGUGAAGGGGUCAGCGAGAAAAGUGCACAGAACAUUACCAUCUACAUGAUGAGAUGAGUCUGGUCUCUGGUUUGUUUUCGCCUUUCUCACUUCGGUUCAAAGGUGAAUAGUCCAGUUUAGUGGGUUAUGGAUGGUUUAGUGUACAGUACAGAGAUAUCUUAGCUUUAUGAGACAGAAUUAGAGCAAAGAAUAUGGAAGUAAAGUUGUAUAUGUAUUGAUAAAAAAAAUAGAAGUUGUAUAUGUAAAUAUUAGCAAUAGCAACAGCAACAGAAGACAUUUGCUACACAUUGUAUGUUGUGACUCUUGAAAAGUUCUUGCCAACCUGAGAUGGAGAAGUAACUCUUUAUAGAUCUUUCGUUCUUUGUUUUUUUCUGCUUUAUGUUCACAUACACAGCAUCCCUGUUUGAUAAACUAACCUGUACUUUAUAAUGCAAAUUAAGUUUCUUAUGACUGGAUUCACCAUGGACAAGACUAUGUAUGAAACAUAAAGGGACAUUAUUCUUAUAUGGGACAUAACCCUUAUGGGCUAUUCUAUCAUAACCCACAUUAUUCAUCGUGACCCUCUUUAAAUGAAAUAUCCACUUUACCCUUAAUGAAUUUAUUCUUUUUGUUUUAUUUUUUAUCUUUCCAGCAAUUAACUAAAAAAUAAAAAAAAAUGGCUUCCUUUCACCUUCGCCGACUUAAGUUCGUAUCUUCUCCGGCAGCACGCGAUGUCUCCGGCCAUCAACUUUGACGGCAGCACGCAGUGUCUCCAGUGCUCUCCGUGAGUCGCGACCAUCUUCUUUCAAUCGCACGAUGGUCUAUUGCUCCAACCUCCACCAAUGUUGUGCUCUAUAACACGUAAGCGAGUUCCGCCGAUUCCGCCAAGUCGCCAUGUCGGCGUGACCUUAGACCCUCACCGCCGACUCCGUCAGCUUCGAUUUCAGUCAAUCAUGGAUGAAGAUGGAUUGAGCAGAUCUCAAUCAACCAUGGAUGAGCGAUUCAAUCGAAUCUGGUGGGGAAACCAACUUUUCAUUAUUUGUGUUUUUGGUCCUCAAAUGUUUUGUUUCUCUUCAUUUUGGUCCCAAACUUUAUAAUUAACAAGAUUUUUUUUCUGUUUUCAGAUUGAACUUUUCAAUUAUGCACUUUAAACCAUGUUAGCUAAAAAUGGACAAAUAAAUACAAUAUACAUA